GGGCGAAUGGCGGAACGUGGCAGAUGCUGCGGACUUAAAAUUCGCUUCCGGCAACGGAGUAUGGGUUUGAACCCUAUUUAGCCCCCCA
rnacentral:tRNA from 1 species